rnacentral:rRNA from 1 species
CCAAUAGCGUAUAUUAAAGUUGUUGCAGUUAAAAAGCUCGUAGUUGAAUUUCGGGAUCAAUACGUCGGUCGUGCCUCUGGUAUGUACUGGUGUUAUUGAUUUCUCCCUUCUGAUGAACCAUGAUGUCAUUAAUUUGGUGUUGUGUGGAGUCAGGACUGUUACUUUGAAAAAAUUAGAGUGUUUAAAGCAGGCUCACGCUUGAAUACAUUAGCAUGGAAUAAUGAAAUAGGACGUUCGAUCCUAUCUUGUUGGUUUCUAGGAUCAACGUAAUGAUUAAUAGGGAUAGUUGGGGGCAUUAGUAUUCAAUUGUCAGAGGUGAAAUUCUUGGAUUUAUUGAAGACUAACUACUGCGAAAGCAUUUGCCAAGGAUGUUUUCAUUAAUCAAGAACGAAAGUUAGGGGAUCGAAGACGAUCAGAUACCGUCGUAGUCUCAACCAUAAACUAUGCCGACUAGGGAUCGGAUGAUGUUAAUUUUUUAAUGACUCAUUCGGCGCCUUACG